GCUCACUGGAUACUGACACUCAUUCUGAGGAGGCAAAACAAAGCCAAGAUGGAGGCCCUGGCCUGUGUUUCUCCACAUGAGAAACAGUGAAGGCUGUGGCUGUGAAUAUGGCUGCAUUUCUCAAACUCCCAGCCACCCAUACUCUGCUGGGAAUCUCAAGGAGCUGAGAACGGGCCUGCCCACCAGUGAUGGGGCCUCGUCCUGGGGGAUCCAGCUUAGCUCAGGGUCCAGGAAACACCAUGGGAGACAGGAUGGAGAGAUUGGAAGAGCCAGAAGAUUGAGAAUGGUUCUACAAAAUGCUGUCUUCUGGAUAUGGCAUGAAAAGAACAGCCCUCUAAGGUACAGCAUCCAAGCACAACAAAACAAGAUACAGUAAGACACUGCAAAAGCCCUCAUAUUUAGACUGGACAAAACAACUCAAAAGGAGGAAAAGAUGAGAGAAUUAAUAGGU